rnacentral:rRNA from 1 species
GACGAACGCGGCGGCGUGCUUAACACAUGCAAGUCGAACGAAGAGCGAUGGAAGCUUGCUUCUAUCAAUCUUAGUGGCGAACGGGUGAGUAACGCGUAAUCAACCUGCCCUUCAGAGGGGGACAACAGUUGGAAACGACUGCUAAUACCGCAUACGAUCUAACCUUGGCAUCGAGGAUGGAUGAAAGGUGGCCUCUAUUUAUAAGCUAUCACUGAAGGAGGGGAUUGCGUCUGAUUAGCUAGUUGGAGGGGUAACGGCCCACCAAGGCGAUGAUCAGUAGCCGGUCUGAGAGGAUGAACGGCCACAUUGGGACUGAGACACGGCCCAGACUCCUACGGGAGGCAGCAGUGGGGAAUCUUCCGCAAUGGACGAAAGUCUGACGGAGCAACGCCGCGUGAGUAUGACGGCCCU